rnacentral:rRNA from 1 species
CCUACGGGGGGCUGCAGUGGGGGAUAUUGCACAAUGGGGGAAACCCUGAUGCAGUGACGCCGCGUGGGCGAAGAAGUAUUUCGGUAUGUAAAGCCCUAUUAGCAGGGAAGAAGAAAUGACGGUACCUGAGUAAGACGCACCGGCUAAAUACGUGCAAGCAGCCGCGGUAAUAAGUAUGGUGCAAGCGUUAUCCGGAUGUACUGGGUGUAAAGGGAGAGCAGGCGGCACGGCAAGCCUGAUGUGAAAGCCCGCGGCCCAACCGCAGGACUGCAUUGGGAACUACCGGGCUGGAGUGCCGGAGAGGUAGGCGGAAUUCCUAGUGUAGCGGUAAAAUGCGUAGAUAUUAAGAGGAACACCAGUGGCGAAGGCGACCUACUAGACGGUGACUGACGCUGAGGCUCGAAAGCGUGGGGAGCAAACAGGAUUAGAUACCCCAGUAGUC